AAUGGUACUCCUCCGAGAAAACCGGAGCCGAGCAGCGCGGAGGCGCGAUUCGGGGAAGCGUCGCUUAGGUUGGGAUAGACCUUUGGGGGCUUCC
rnacentral:sRNA from 12 species